UGAACUUGAAUCUGAAACGUGGGGGUUAUUUGGAGUUGUUUAAACUUACUGUGAAGUCAUGAACAAAAAUUGUCAUAGAAACUCCGAUAAGGCGGAGAUUGGAUUCUUCGUUCUUGUAAGUGGUGGUUCAAAUUGAUUGCUAGGUAAUGUUCCUAUGCUUGUAAGAAGCUCAUGAUUCAAAUCUGAGCUGAUUUGGUGAAAGUUAUUGUACCGAUUUUAAAAGUCAUAACUGGGGAAAUGGACAAAGAAAACAACUUGAAAAGCUAAAGACCAUGUUUCGCUUUUGUCUCCCUGAAGCAGUGCAUUGAGCUGAGCUGAACAUUGAAAUCGAAAAUUGGCUGGAUGAAAGUAAUCGUUUAGACAAACUGUCAGCAGCUUGCUCUGUGAAAAGUUUCAUAUCCCUGAACUAAUUCAAAUGUCUCCAUGAUUCAGGUUCGUCUUAGUUUGAAUUCAGGAAUCUCUUCGAGGAAUUGAGUUUGCUUUUCUGAUCUGAGAACUACUGUUUAUCUUUGAUUUAUGGAUUGAUUGGAGAGAUUCAGUAUUGGAGUUGCAUUCUAUAUGAAAUACCAAGCACCUCUGCUGCUGUUGGUCUGUCGACAAACGAAUCAGGUGGUUUUACAUUUUGGAAUGACUCAGUAGGUGCUUAAAUUUGAAAAGUUUCGAAGGUAUUGGGGCUGUGCUAAAAUUUGUUUUGUUUCACUUACAUGUGUGAUUUUGUUCAAACGGUGUUAAAAAUUAUGUAAGGAAUGGAGUAAUUAUCCAGGAGGUGCAUUUCAACAUAUUCCUCUAUGUUAGCUUAACGAGUGAAUGCAACACAUUCCAUCCAAACAAGCUUUAAAUAGGCCAAGAGCUUUUCAACAGACAAAUAUUAAAAGCUUAUAACUAAGAAUUGGUGGGGGUUUCCCUAAAGAGAGACCCUUCCAAAAAUUGGCGUAUGCCACUUGUUGCAACAAGCACACGGUAUUCUUUAGUAAAAGGCGAAAGAAUAAUUCGCUAUGUGCUCAAUGCGUGGCUGCGUGAGUUGGCAAGGUGGCUGGAGCCAACAUUAAAUAUGGGGCAAAGCUGUUUGCUCUGCAGCUUGCAUCCGAUGUGGGAUAAAUUCUACAAUCAAACAAUCAUCAACUGGUUGGUGAGACUAAAACAUUUUCUCAUUUAUUUGCCAUUGAGAAUAGGUGAAGGAAAAAAUGGGUAAGGAGAUUACAACAUUCAGAAUCUAAAUUUCAUCAAUAAAGUAAAAGUUCAAAUAGUUAAUGAACUACUAAAAUUUCCAUAUUAUUCGUCAUUUCCACUACUCAAAUGGCAACAUUUCAACUAACAGUAUGUUUCGGAUGGAAAAAACAAGUGUACUAACACUUGUUAUAAUCUAGUAGGAAGAAUAUUCAUUAUUUUACCUAUAUAUAUGUAUGCUUCUUUGUAUGUUAUAACGUAGAGAGGAAAAAAAAACAAUAACACACACUUUAUUUAAAUCAUUCUUCUUUUCCAUUUCAUUUACUUCUCCAUUACUAUUAUACAAUCCUUAUUAUUAGUUAUAUUAUUUUUCAAAUUAACUUGUUGGUAUUUGUAUUAAUAGUUUUGUUGAUUCCUGUAUUCUCUAAAUAUUUAGAGAAGUGCUUGUUUAAUUCUGGGCAAACAUUUCACGCUGCUAAAAUAGUUUUUUAGGAUAGUGCCCAGCACGACUCAAGUAUAAUAAAUAUAUAUACACUGAUAUAUUAUACUGUUAAUACUAUGAAAAUAAUAUUUUAUUCACAGCUGUAUAAUAGUAUUAUUUUUCUUUAUUCCCGAACAUCUAUGAACUUGAAUCUGAAACGUGGGGGUUAUUUGGAGUUGUUUAAACUUACUGUGAAGUCAUGAACAAAAAUUGUCAUAGAAACUCCGAUAAGGCGGAGAUUGGAUUCUUCGUUCUUGUAAGUGGUGGUUCAAAUUGAUUGCUAGGUAAUGUUCCUAUGCUUGUAAGAAGCUCAUGAUUCAAAUCUGAGCUGAUUUGGUGAAAGUUAUUGUACCGAUUUUAAAAGUCAUAACUGGGGAAAUGGACAAAGAAAACAACUUGAAAAGCUAAAGACCAUGUUUCGCUUUUGUCUCCCUGAAGCAGUGCAUUGAGCUGAGCUGAACAUUGAAAUCGAAAAUUGGCUGGAUGAAAGUAAUCGUUUAGACAAACUGUCAGCAGCUUGCUCUGUGAAAAGUUUCAUAUCCCUGAACUAAUUCAAAUGUCUCCAUGAUUCAGGUUCGUCUUAGUUUGAAUUCAGGAAUCUCUUCGAGGAAUUGAGUUUGCUUUUCUGAUCUGAGAACUACUGUUUAUCUUUGAUUUAUGGAUUGAUUGGAGAGAUUCAGUAUUGGAGUUGCAUUCUAUAUGAAAUACCAAGCACCUCUGCUGCUGUUGGUCUGUCGACAAACGAAUCAGGUGGUUUUACAUUUUGGAAUGACUCAGUAGUUGCUGAAAUUUGAAAAGUUUCGAAGGUAUUGGGGCUGUGCUAAAAUUUGUUUUGUUUCACUUACAUGUGUGAUUUUGUUCAAACGGUGUUAAAAAUUAUGUAAGGAAUGGAGUAAUUAUCCAGGAGGUGCAUUUCAACAUAUUCCUCUAUGUUAGCUUAACGAGUGAAUGCAACACAUUCCAUCCAAACAAGCUUUAAAUAGGCCAAGAGCUUUUCAACAGACAAAUAUUAAAAGCUUAUAACUAAGAAUUGGUGGGGGUUUCCCUAAAGAGAGACCCUUCCAAAAAUUGGCGUAUGCCACUUGUUGCAACAAGCACACGGUAUUCUUUAGUAAAAGGCGAAAGAAUAAUUCGCUAUGUGCUCAAUGCGUGGCUGCGUGAGUUGGCAAGGUGGCUGGAGCCAACAUUAAAUAUGGGGCAAAGCUGUUUGCUCUGCAGCUUGCAUCCGAUGUGGGAUAAAUUCUACAAUCAAACAAUCAUCAACUGGUUGGUGAGACUAAAACAUUUUCUCAUUUAUUUGCCAUUGAGAAUAGGUGAAGGAAAAAAUGGGUAAGGAGAUUACAACAUUCAGAAUCUAAAUUUCAUCAAUAAAGUAAAAGUUCAAAUAGUUAAUGAACUACUAAAAUUUCCAUAUUAUUCGUCAUUUCCACUACUCAAAUGGCAACAUUUCAACUAACAGUAUGUUUCGGAUGGGUUUACCCAUCAUAUUGUGUUGUCUUGUUACCAUCAAUAUCAUAUUUGUUUUAAUUGUUAAGUCCAUUUUAUUAUAUCGCAUCAUUAAAAUUCAUUAUCAGGUAAUGAUAAAAAAAAUUCAUUUUAUCUCAAUCGAUUUGGUAAGAUCACAUGGUUUGAUUGUCUUAUAUUUCUUUUCUCAUUUUAUCUUCAAUUAUGAGUAUUUAAUAAUCCUAUUUUAUCCUUUAUACUACCUAUUUAUACCCCGUAUCCUACUUUUCUAGUAGGUUAAAUCACUCAAAAUAUUGAGAUGUGAGACUAUGUAACGACGAAAAUAAUACAAUCUAUCCAAACAAUACAUGAUAAUACAACACCAUACGAUACAAUACAUUAUGAAACAAUACGUAACAACCAUCCAAACAGACAACAAAGGGGUGAGUGAAUUAACUAGCAUAGCCUAGUGCAGAAACACCUACGGCGCCAGCCAAUGCAGUCACCGCCAGAGAAGCCUUCGUUGCGGCAAAUAAUAGCACAAUUGUGGUCACGGAGGCAUGGCCCCCUGUACCUAUGGCUUUGUGAGAUACACACUCUUCCUUCCACUUGUGGGAUUCCCAUUUCUGCAUCCACCAUACCACCAAAUUCAUCAAAUACUAUGCUACCCAAAAAAUUUAAAUGCAUGUACCAACUUUUGAAAUCAAUCAAUAGCUGAUAAAAUGACAUUUAUUACUUUUGAUUUUGAUUGUCUAGAGUACUUUUAGAUGUCCACUUACAUAAGUUAAAUCUUGAAAUUAUUACUCCCUCCAUUUCAAUUUAUCUCAUUUAUACGGUAUAAUAAGACCUCUCUGUAACGCCACCUCGCUGUAAGAUUUCUCUAUAACGUCACCUCCUUAAAAAACGACAUUUCACCUCAUAUUCUCUGAAAAUAAUUUUUCAUAUUAUAUUUUACUUCUCUAUAACGACAUUUUACCUAUAACAAAAAUGAUGUUUGUUAUAGUGAUAAAUUCUACAAAGAAUUACCUCUCAAUUAAACAUUAUGUAAUAAUAUUUUGUAUGAAAUGUAUUAUUUAUAAAAUAAAAUGCCAAAAUAUUUAUAAUAAUCAUCAUUAAUAUCAUGCAUACAAUAAAUUUCAGGUAUGAACAUCUCAUUUAAAGGAAAAAUUUGUAUUGAAAUAGUGCAUAUCAGUUAAUUACUAACUUCACGAGAAAAAGACUACUAAUGCUUGUCCUUUUUUUAUAUUCAUGCUCUUUCUAAUUUUGUAUGCUUUUAUUUAUAACAACUAAAUAAGAUUUGAACGUCAGAUGCCAGAAUACAUAUAUAACAACACCUCUAUAGAAACUAUGAAAUUUUUCAAUAAAACUAUCACUAUAGAGAGAUUUAACUAUAUUUGAUUUGAUGUAUUAAAAAUAAUAUACAUUGCAUAAUUCUUUUCAAAUAAAUCUUUUACGAAAUUACCUUUUGGGACCUCUACAAAUAUAAUGAAAAUGUGAAAAAAAUUUGAGGAACAAUUAUAUCAUUAAACAUAUUAAUGCAUGAAUUAAAAUUCAUUACAUUACUAAUACAUCAUGUAUUAGUUAUACUAACAUCAUGUACUAAUUAUAUAUGCAUCAAAAAGUUUAUUUAUAUAUAAAACAUUAGUUACACAUAUGCUUAAAAAAAAAAUUUAGCUAGUAAUACACAAAAACUAUAUUAUGUAUUAUUAUUUUUUAAUGCACUCCAUCAACAGACUGCUAGAGGUAUAACAAUAUAAAAUAAUGGGGGGAAAAACUUACGUGAGACAAACAAAAUGAGAAGCAGGGCGAAAAGGCCAAAAGUUUUCUUCUCCAUCUUAGAAAAUAUAUAUAUUUUUUUUCAGUAUUAGACAAUUUAAUGUCUUCCGAAAAUCUUUGAAUGAAGCUGUCAAAUGAGAAAAACUCCCUAUAUAUAUAAAUAGAGGAGUUAGAAUAGUGUGACCAUUUUACCCUUGAGAACUUAACACCUCCAUAAAUUUUUACCAAAAAUCCUCCGUGCUUCUGUUUCAAAAUAAGUAUCAUUUAGUAAAUGAAAAAAGUAUUUCAAAAUAAUUUUUUUUUAAGAAAUUCAAGAGAAUAAUUAAUAAUUACUUUUAAUUAUAUUCUUAUAUUUAAAAACUACUUAUUUUUGAUAUUGUAUGUUACUUCUCAAAAACAUCUAAUGGAUAAUAUAAUUAAUGAUAUCCUGUAAGUAUUUGUUAUUUCUUUAAUAAGAUAAUACAUCGAAACACCUCUAAACUUGUAGCCAAAAUUUACUUUAGACCCUAAACUUAUAUGACAAUUAUUUACCCUCCUUAACAACCUUGAACUGAAUUUAUUUCACCCCUUAGAAGCUGAAGUGAGAUCGCGUGUUGCUGGGCACGUCGAAGUCUUGUCUAUACCUUUUAUAUUUUUCUUAAACGAAAAUAUUCUUUUAAAUUUUCUUAACGGGUAUAAAUCCCAAAUCACCCAUCCCAAUUUCAUCUUCAAAAACCCUAAUUUACUUCUCUUCUUCCUCAAUUUCUCAAAAUCAGCUUCCUCUCCGAAAUUUAAGCAUAGUUUUGAGACUGGUUUCUCUUCCAUUUUAAAUGUAAGUGCUCUUGAAGAACCGUAAUCUAUUUUUCUAACACGCAAUGAGGUCGGUUAAUUUGACUAAACUUUGUAUGGAAGAAAAUGAUAAUGCUUUGUACAAAGAAGUUAAUUGUAAUCAUGGAUUUUUGUUGCGUAUGAAGACAUCUUGGACUUUGAGGAAUCCCGGCAGAAGAUUUUGGGCAUGUUUUUAUUAUGGGAUAGAUAUCAAUUUUUUUUUAUUUUACUAUUCUAAUAGACUUGAUUAAAAAUUAAUUCAUUCUUUAUUUUUCACCAUUGAAGGGUCCAAGAUCUUGCGACUUUUGAUGUUGGAGGGAUAGAGAAGAUAUUGAUCCGAGGUCCAAAUAUGUGAUUCCAAAACUAAUAGAGAAAUUAGGUGAGCUUGAGAAUUUAGUUGAGUCUUCUCAAUAUAUUGACAAUCAUGCAUCAAUUAAUGAAGUUGAAAAAGUUGAGUUGAAUAAAUUUGUUGAGGAAACUUCUCAUGAAGUAGACAAGCCUAAAGAAUCCAAAGAUGAUAAUUGCGUUGAUAUAAAAUUGGAGAAGUUGGAAGAAGAGGUUGAGAAGAUCAAAGAAAGAGAGAAGAAGUGGAGAAAAAUUGCUAAAUUUGUUGUGUUUUGUUGUUCUUCACUACUAAUAGCUAUAAGCUAUUAGCUUGGGAGGAUACAUAUAAAGAAAGGUUCAAUGGGGUUACCUUAAGGUGGUUGUUCUUGUUAGAAGAUAUCUAGCUUAUUUUGUGAUUGGUGCUAUUUCUUUAAGCUUAUUUUGUAAUCUACUUUGGCUGGUG
rnacentral:lncRNA from 1 species